GGAAGAUGGAUCCACCGGAAAUCGCAGCUGAACGAGGUCAUGGAUAGCCCCCGCAAAAAAAAGGGAAGAUGGAUCCACCGGAAAUCGCAGAACAACCGAAAAAUCCAGCGAUUACAAAUCAAGCGACCUGUCCAGCUCCGCCGGAAGGGACACAAAGACGCAAUCCAC